ensembl:lncRNA
UCUCCCUCUCUCUCUCUCUCUCUCUCUCUCUCUCUCUCUCUCUCUCUCUCUCUCUCUCUCUCUCUCUCUCUCUCUCUCUCUCUCUCUCUCUCUCUAUCUCUCUCUCUCUCUCUCUCUCUCUCUCUCUCUCUCUCUCUCUCUCUCUCUCUCUCUCUCUCUCUCUCUCUCCCUUUCCCUCUCCCUCUCUCUAGCUCCCUCUUUUAUACAUGCAUGCAUACACACUCACUCAACACACACACAAAAACACACACACACAUACAUACAUUAUAACAUAAUAUGGAAUUACUGCGUUCACUAUUCAAACCUACAAUGCUAUAAAACAAUGCUGUUGGAAUGCAUUAGGAUAAUUAUUCAAUUUUCGAAAGACAAUUGUUCUGUUCUGCUGCUUGGUAGUAAUAUAAUUUCUUCUUUUCAGUGCACUCUAAUGCAUAUCAGCCUCGGGCUCAACUGCCUGAUUCAAACUCAAAUUCAUAUUUCAUAUUUCCCUCUCCUCCACAUCACUCUUUAUUUUCACUUUCUCCAAUCUGUCUGUAUAUCUGACCGUCCGUCCCCAGCCGUCUGUCUGUAGAAUUCAUCAAAGUUGAUAUUCCUUUGUAAACAUCCAUUACCUGCCGCAUGGCCUAUGCCACUGGAGACGGACAGACAGACAGGUUAGAUACGUCCUUCAUUUUCUACAUUUCCUGGGCAAAACUAUUCUCGUACAAACUCUGACCUCAGUGUUUUCCCCCAUUAUCCCGGCCUAUGUGCUCUUCACCAACAUCCAUUUCAUCAGCAAACCGCCUGGACCAACACCCCCAUCGCUAGUACCCCCAUCGUGACCACCCCCUCGCUAAGAUAAAUGAGACGGCAAACAAGGUUCAUGUCUGAUCUCCACCUGGCAGAGCAGCUCUGUCUCCAGGGUCAGUGUGGACACAGAGGCUAAGGUUGAACCCAGGGGCUGAAGCCGCAGGAUCAAACUGCUCCCUUCCCCCCCCCCCAAAAAGAGUUUCCCUUAUCGCCUCCGAAAGGUCAUAGUCUAAUUUGAUAAUACAGGGUUUUGGCUUCUUAAAGGUGUAGUUCUCUCUCUUCGUUUCGCCGCCAGCCAUCAAAAUGUCACAAAGCGUUUUCGUGGUUGACAUUUUGAUAUAAGUCGGUCCAGCUGUGUCCUUUCUAGAAAAUAAAAGAUUAAAAAAAGGUUUUAUUACUUUUUGAGCGUGUGAACAUUGUAGGAAUAAAUACAAGCAUACUCACACACACACACACACACACACACACACACACACACACACACACACACACACACACACACACACACACAUAUAAAGACACAUACACAAAGUGUACAGAGUGCACCAAACACACACACUCACGCACACACACACACGUGUAGAUGCACGCACGCAUGCACACACAUACAUAUUCAUGUCUGAGACCAGUGUUUUGCAUGAUUGCUAUUUUAAUUUUCUACAACUGCUCAAUGUACUACAUUUUACACACAGCUGCAUUCCACUAAACAGAAAAAUCGAUUUCCCAAACAUUAUUGUCUGCAUAUACAUGUGAACACCAGGGCAUUUCCUUGUAAUUGUGCAAUUUCAGAGAAGGCGAUGUUUCCUACUUUCGUUUAGUUGAACAAAAUCCCUUCACAGCCCGCAUUUAUUACAGAAAUCAGUAAAUUAUACAUCAAACCCCCAAUAGGCCUAUAUUAAUUGAACUACAGAGUAAAACAUUUUAGAGUAAAAACAACAAAAAAGAGAAGGAGAAAAAAAUCAUUGGUUUGUGGUCUGCAUGUCCCCAACUCCAUAUGUAGACUAGAAUAGAUAUUUAAUAGCAUCUACUCCGACUGAAUCUUUACAAGUCCUCAUACUCUCUGGAGAAGUGAGAGGCAGGAGGACUACGUUAAUUACAUCAUAAACCUUGAUUAGUUGAGGCAGUUAUUGAUCUAAGGCAAGUAUUCAAAUCGUUCGUCUCAGGGGGCCAGGAAGCCAUUAUUGUGUAAUAGCUUUACAUUAAUAUACUGUUCAUGAAUAUCUUAGUAAUGAAUGAAAGUAUAAUUAGUAAUACAUGGUUGAAUAUAUUUUAAUGCGCCAUUCACAAUGCGUUCACCACCGCUAACACAAUGAGGACGUGCACAGACAUUUACACAGUAAUGGUGACUCUAAUGACUCAACUGAAAUGGGACGAAGCUUCAGUGGUUUAGAGUUCAACAGGUUAAUAUUGUACUUCCCCUCAUGGAUCCAUCACACGUAAUGAUCUGUUAUGGAUGAAAUACACAGCGAGCAGUGGAGAGGAGAGAGCAGAUGAGAGGAGCGGAAAGGAGAGGUUAAAAUGUUGGGAUUUGAACCAUUAUCUAAAGAAGAAUAAGGAAAAAUCCAUUGAUGGUUCUCUUGCAUUUCCAUUGCUAUUUUUCUAGUUGUAAUCGUGUCCUCUUUAUGGUUUUACUUUUUAACGAUGACAAAAUCUUCAAAAUUCACCGUUCAUCCGUGAUCACAUUUACAAUUCAGAGCACUUGUUUGUUUUAAUUAACAUGCAUCGGCAAUAAUCUAAAUACUAAUUUGAUAUUUAAAAUUCCCGGUGUUUCAAUGGAUAAUCAGCUAUUUCAGGAGAAAAAAUAUAACCCUUCAGAAAUAUUAUCUUAUUAGAUAAAGAUUUCGGCUAAUGAAUAUUAUCUACAUAAAUGAUAUGGUUGCACAUAAGCGGCUGUCAUUGUUUAAGACGGCAAUCGUAAUUAAACACUCAUUGAAGUGUUUCAGAAGCACAGCUCCACUGAAUCAGCUCGAUCUCAGACGUGUCUGCAUGAUAACUAGCACUUCUGUUUCCUGAGUUGAAUGUUUACUUGAGAACUCGUUUCUUUUAACUGUGUUCCUUGUCUUUAAAUCUCUAUGUUUUUGCUGCUUUCUUGGCUGGGUCGGCAUUGGGAAAGGGAUUUUAAUCUCUGUGAGACUCGUCUGGUUGAAAAAGGUUGAUUAAAAUAAUUGAAUGAACAGACUAUGGGUGAGAGGGAGUUUUGAAUAGAUAUCUGGAGGGAUGUAGGAAGAGAUUCUAUCAACACUACAAUGUUAAAGAAUAGUUUUUGUAUUAUUUUUUUACAAUAUUUGUUUAUUUAGGCCUACUCACAGCACCAAAAUUAAGCAUUUCUUAGAUGUGUAAAUUACUUCAUAAUUUCAAAUGUUAUAACUUGACAAUCCCUUAUUUUAUGGUUGCUGAGAACUCAUACUCAUACAUACAAGAAGGUGGCUGCUGUUGUAACUCUCCAUGGUUUAUUAUUUUUCCUUUGCCACAUGAUAGAGAAAUUGAAUAGCCUUGUGUAGGUUGGAUAUGAAUAUGGUUAUUUCUGCACUUUUGUAAGUUAAAAGCUUUAUACCUGAAAUGCAAAGGAAGCUGCCAGUAGGAAAACAACCCAGUCUGGGAUUUUUGUACGACAACAUUUUUAACACAAGAUUUCUUUCUUCAAUUCAGCUGAAUAAACUGGAUUCAAAGUUCAUCACCUAAGCAGCUACAAACACCCACUAUGUUCCAAAAUAUCAGAAGUUACAUUCAGGGAUUUUGAGAACUUGUUAGUAAAAUCAAACCCUUUCCGCAUGUUUAACUUGUCUGCGGUGCUGUCCAGAAAACUACAAAUUGGAAGUCAGAAAGUUCUCUUCCGUUUGGUAACCUGUUCCCUCAUUGACGCUCUAAAAUGGCUGUCCAAGCAUAAACCCUCCACACCCGAAACGCAAGCAAAAAAACCUUGAGAACAAUCACGUUGGACAAGUCAGAAAAGGCUGAGCUCGACCAAACUCCCUAUAGCCUACCUACCCAAAAGUUCUAUAGGUAGGCGAGGCAAGGCAACUUUAUUUAUGUAGCACUUUUCAUACACGAGGCAGACUCAAAGUGCUUCACAUAGAAACAUUGUCAUACAAUAAAAUAAUAGAUUAGUAAAAGAAUAAAUGAGCAGAUUAGGCGAAAUUAAAAAAAACAAAAACAAGGUAAGCCGUGUUGAGCGACAGGCUGGAAGCUAUAGCUAACGCUGCUGCUCAAACAGGGAGUGCAGGCUCACGCUUAGACCUAACUAUUCUAUAGGAGGAUACACACGGCCCGUCCCCCAGAGGCUUGUUAGAUCCCAACUUCCGGUCGUGUCGUCAGCGGGGGCUGGACAUGGAAUCGGUGAUGUCACCGUCGUGAAACCGGCGUGGCGCUGUCCUCUCCCCGCCGCGCCGCCCUAUACCCUAACGAACCCCGCAAUUAGCACUGCUUCCCCACCGCCUCAGAGUCCCCCAUGACUGGAAUACCAAGGUCGGAGAGGGAGACUACAUUUAAAAUACGAAGAGGGGCACGACCGAAGAGGGGCCUGCCUGCUAACUACAGGAAUAAUUAACAUCUCGUUAAGGCUGCCAUCAUAAGCCUUUACUAACGCGCAGCAAUUAUCCAACUCGGCUGUCACUCAGCCCUCCAUAACCUCCAAUCUUACCAACGUAAUUGAGUCGCUCUGUGAGGGGAACACAGGCGGCCGUGGUUCUCCUCUUUCUUGAUGCUAAACGCCAACCGCAGUGGGAUGAGACGAGGUUUCAGAAGCUUUGAGGCUGGAAGCUCAGUCCUGAAAUCUAACAGCUGAAAUGGAAACCUGUGCGUGCGUGUGUGUGCGUUUGUGCGUGUACUUGUGUGUGUGUGUGUGUGUGUGUGUGUGUGUGUGUGUGUGUGUGUGUGUGUGUGUGUGUGUGUGUGUGUGUGUGUGUGUGUGUGUGUGUGUGUGUGUGUGUGUGUGUGUGUGUGUGCUAGUGUGUGCAAGAUGAGAGUGAGAGAGGAGACGAAAGGAAAUGUAUGGGAGGAGAUGAGAGGAGAAAACUUUGGGAUGUGGAAGUGUGGUAAAAUGUGUUGGAAGACUGUGUGUGUGUGUGUGUGUGUGUGUGUGUGUGUGUGUGUGUGUGUGUGUUUGUGUGUGUGUGUGAGUGCGUUUGCGUGCGCGUGUCUAUGUGCCACUGCAAACCCUCACGGGAAGCACCAACACCAAAUCCCGGGUGUAGUCCCAACUUCCUGUCCCCCUUGACGACACCAGAAGGGAAUCACGUCUUCCUUUUUAAACGUCCUCUUUAGCCUUGACCUUUCUUAAAACACACUAAUCUGAGAGGCACAACCCCGUCCCCGAGACGUAAAUCCAAUCCUUUGGUCUCGCCCUCCGCCUGAAGGCUGAUAUGUGACAAAGGGAGCUGAAACCCAUCGGAGGACCGGCUCCAAUUGAAGGGAAGCGUGUCGAAUCGCUAAGGUCGCGCAGCCGUCGAAGGUCAGGGAGCACUGGUGGCGGAGAGAGAGUGUUGGUUUGUUUGCGUCUCUCCAGUCUUCUCCGAGUCGAUCGUGUCAGCCGCACGUAUGGUCUAUACAUGACAUGAAGGGUUUAAAAUAAGAAACACCUCCACAACGGAUACGUUGUACGAUGGGGUUAGUGACAACGCCUAAGCAGCGACAGACUCUGUUUCUCGAUGGGCUGCGGCUAGAAGCCGUUGAAUUAUGCGUUGGUUUUGCUUUGGGGGUGGAGUAGGAGGAGCAUCCCUCGAAACAUCAUUAGUCAGAGCGUUGUGAGGGUCGUCUUACCACUUCACGUAGGAUCAUAUAAUUGCUACAAAACCCGCCCGGCCCGUCAGACGCUCUGACAAUCCUGCGCCGUGUCGUGUCUAUCCUGUUGCACCGAUGUCAGGUUUUGCAGUUUGACAUUUCUCUUUCAUGUUUCCUUCCAUGCUGUUUUCCAAUUUGUACACAAUAGCUUCCGUGUACAAUACAAUCCACAAUCCUCUCUCUCUGAUUCCCCUCGCCCCUGUACCCUGAAGGUACCGGCGCGCGCCCACACAGACAGCCAGACGGCUGGAAUCUGCAUUCCUCGUGAUACGUACCUUUGAUGGGCAGGGAACGUGUUUCUCUGACAGAAGAGGUGCAACGUCUCAUCACGUCCUCUAACCACCACCUCCUACACUCUCAUCUCCGCUGGUGUCGGUCUGCCUCGAAGAAGGAUUGAAGACUGCUCGAGUUAUUCCAGGGAGCCCUGUGCAUCGGAAGGCUGAAGUUAAUGGCAGAGUCAUUUGUCUGCUUGGGACAAAAAACACACAAACACUAAUUUGUCUUGUUG